rnacentral:tRNA from 1 species
GGUAAAAUGGCUGAGGUAGAGGCAUUGGACUGUAAAUCUAAGGACAGAGGUAAACCCUCUUUUUACCA